CCUAUGCAGUCAAUGCUCUCCCAAUAAACGUGUGCAGAAGGAUCCUAUUGUGGCGUCGUUCUUGCUGGCGAGUCGUGCGCAAGAAGUGGUGCCGAAAGGAAAAGAAACAUCUUCAGUCAAGAGCGAAGACCCCCUGCUACAGGGAGGAUUCAGAACUGCAUCACGGGGAAGGAGCGGUUAAUGAAGUGUUCCUGUAAAACAGACUGCUGAGAAGGAUCCAACUGCGUGGAUUCAGAACUCUUCAGCUGAGGUACCGGUAAGUCUCCCAAAUUGAUCCCCGGGUUAAAGGGGAAUAUGUUUUAAUAAAAGAGCAAAAACAGGGGGAGUAAAAUAGUCAU
rnacentral:lncRNA from 1 species